AGUCGCACAGUUGCGCGGUGGCCGACAGGAAUUGUUCCCCAGUGGUAAGCCGCAAUCUAGCUGACGUGGCCCCAACCCCACAUUCCUUCCUGCCCUGCAAUGUCUGAAGAAACCCUACAGAGCAAAUUGGCGGCUGCAAAGAAAAAGCUGCCUUGGGGUGCGGUGCAGGGGUCCAGAGCCAUGUCGGACCUGUUACUGUUACUACUGGACCUGACUCUGUUACUGCUGCUGAUGCUGCUGGGCUUUGCCGGGUACUCAGGGCAGUUGGCUGGGGUGGCAGUGAGUGCCGGCUCACCCCCCAUCCCUACAAGUUCCAUGUGGAGCCCUAUGGUGAGACUGGGUGGCUUCUCACCAGAGCUGCAGCAUCUCCCCCAAACUCUGCUCCAUCGCUGUCCACUAGGACAACCCUGCAUGCCAUGUCCUGGAACAUGUUGAACUGUCAAGACGUCGGAAUUUCAGUAGACAAUGAAUUCAGACAUCUGUGGAAUAGCCUUGGGCACACUGUGUUUAUGGGGAAAAAAGCAGAAGAGAAAAAUGUGUUAUAUAAAUUUAUGGGUGCAAAUAAAUAAAGCAAGUUCUUAGUGACUUAUGAA